rfam:Asian citrus Psyllid, Diaphorina citri - Florida Strain, whole genome shotgun sequence.
ACCUCGGUGGUGUAUUGGUCAAGACGUUCGACUGGUAAACAGGAGGGCGUGGGUUCAAUCCCAGCCAAGGUA